UUGUCCCUACGGGGGGCAGCAGUGAGGAAUAUUGGUCAAUGGGCGGGAGCCUGAACCAGCCAAGUCGCGUGAAGGAAGAAGGUUCUUAGUAUUGUAAACUUCUUUUGUCGGGGAACAAAGGCGGAAACGCGUCUCCGGAUGAGUGUACCCGAAGAAAAAGCAUCGGCUAACUCCGUGCCAGCAGCCGCGGUAAUACGGAGGAUGCGAGCGUUAUCCGGAUUUAUUGGGUUUAAAGGGUGCGCAGGCGGCACGGCAAGCCGGCGGUCAAAUCGCGGGGCUCAACCCCGCCCAGCCGUCGGAACUGC
rnacentral:rRNA from 1 species